AGAGUUUGAUCCUGGCUCAGAUUGAACGCUGGCGGCAGGCCUAACACAUGCAAGUCGAGCGGAUGAGUGGAGCUUGCUCCAUGAUUCAGCGGCGGACGGGUGAGUAAUGCCUAGGAAUCUGCCUGGUAGUGGGGGACAACGUUUCGAAAGGAACGCUAAUACCGCAUACGUCCUACGGGAGAAAGUGGGGGAUCUUCGGACCUCACGCUAUCAGAUGAGCCUAGGUCGGAUUAGCUAGUUGGUGAGGUAAAGGCUCACCAAGGCGACGAUCCGUAACUGGUCUGAGAGGAUGAUCAGUCACACUGGAACUGAGACACGGUCCAGACUCCUACGGGAGGCAGCAGUGGGGAAUAUUGGACAAUGGGCGAAAGCCUGAUCCAGCCAUGCUGCGUGUGUGAAGAAGG
rnacentral:rRNA from 1 species